rnacentral:lncRNA from 1 species
UCCUUCUUCUGUUGAGACACAUUUCAUUAGAGGUCCGUCGUAGGAUUUCUUAUACAGAAUAUCACCAAUUAGGCAGAAUCUUGAAACGCGUGUUUGUAACUUGCGUCUUUCAUUUUUAUUUUCAGGAAGUUUCUGUCCCUUGAAGUAUUCUAUCAAGGGCUUCCUCCAGUCUUCUGCCCGGAUCGUGACUAGGUUACAAGAAGGUGUAGAUGCUGAGUCAACUAGUAUCUCUCUCUGCCCCCCCUCGAAAGCAGAAGCUAGCUUUGCUAGGGCAUCAGCUGAGUUAUUUUGACUCCUUGGUAUCUGUUCUACUUCAACCUUAGUAAAUU